GUAUAAUGGGUCAGCGACUUAUAUUCUGUAGCAAGGUUAACCGUAUAGGGGAGCCGUAGGGAAACCGAGUCUUAACCGGGCGUUAAGUUGCAGGGUAUAGACCCGAAACCCGGUGAUCUAGCCAUGGGCAGGUUGAAGGUUGGGUAACACUAACUGGAGGACCGAACCGACUAAUGUUGAAAAAUUAGCGGAUGACCUGUGGCUGGGGGUGAAAGGCCAAUCAAACCGGGAGAUAGCUGGUUCUCCCCGAAAGCUAUUUAGGUAGCGCCUCGUGAAUUCAUCUCCGGGGGUAGAGCACUGUUUCGGCUAGGGGGCCAUCCCGGCUUACCAACCCGAUGCAAACUGCGAAUACCGGAGAAUGUUAUCACGGGAGACACACGGCGGGUGCUAACGUCCGUCGUGAAGAGGGAAACAACCCAGACCGCCAGCUAAGGUCCCAAAGUCAUGGUUAAGUGGGAAACGAUGUGGGAAGGCCCAGACAGCCAGGAUGUUGGCUUAGAAGCAGCCAUCAUUUAAAGAAAGCGUAAUAGCUCACUGGUCGAGUCGGCCUGCGCGGAAGAUGUAACGGGGCUAAACCAU
rnacentral:rRNA from 1 species